rnacentral:rRNA from 1 species
UACGUAGGGUGCGAGCGUUGUCCGGAAUUACUGGGCGUAAAGGGCGCGUAGGCGGUACUUCAAGUCAGGCGUGAAAGCCCCGGGCUCAACCUGGGAACCGCGCUUGAGACUGGAGAACUAGAGUUCGGGAGAGGAUGGUGGAAUUCCCAGUGUAGAGGUGAAAUUCGUAGAUAUUGGGAAGAACACCGAUGGCGAAGGCAGCCAUCUGGACCGACACUGACGCUGAGGCGCGAAAGCGUGGGGAGCAAACAGG